GAGUUUGAUUAUGGCUCAGGACGAACGCUGGCGGCGUGCUUAACACAUGCAAGUCGAACGGGAUCUGAUGGGGCUUUUGCUUUGUUGGUGAGAGUGGCGAACGGGUGAGUAACACGUGAGUAAACCUGCCCUCAACAUUUGAAUAACUCCAUGAAAGUGGGGCUAAUGCAAUAUAUUCUGCAGUCAUCGCAUGGUGGUUGUGGGAAACGGUUUUUUCUGGUUGGGGAUGGGCUCGCGGCCUAUCAGCUUGUUGGUGGGGUGAUGGCCUACCAAGGCGGUGACGGGUAGCCGGCCUGAGAGGGUGGACGGCCACACUGGGACUGAGAUACGGCCCAGACUCCUACGGGAGGCAGCAGUGGGGGAUUUUGCACAAUGGGCGCAAGCCUGAUGCAGCGACGCCGCGUGAGGGAUGACGGCCUUCGGGUUGUAAACCUCUUUCGCUAGGUUGGAAGACGUCUUUUUGGAGU
rnacentral:rRNA from 1 species